rnacentral:rRNA from 1 species
UACGUAGGGUGCAAGCGUUGGUCCGGAAUUAUUGGGCGUAAAGAGCUCGUAGGCGGUUUGUCGCGUCUGCUGUGAAAACUCGGGGCUUAACCCCCGGGCCUGCAGUGGGUACGGGCAGACUAGAGUGCGGUAGGGGAGACUGGAAUUCCUGGUGUAGCGGUGAAAUGCGCAGAUAUCAGGAGGAACACCGGUGGCGAAGGCGGGUCUCUGGGCCGUAACUGACGCUGAGAAGCGAAAGCAUGGGGAGCGAACAGG